UACGUAGGGUGCAAGCAUUGUCCGGAAUUAUUGGGCGUAAAGAGCUCGUAGGCGGUUCGUCGCGUCGGCUGUGAAAUCCCGAGGCUCAACCUCGGGUCUGCAGUCGAUACGGGCGGACUGGAGUUCGGCAGGGGAGACUGGAAUUCCUGGUGUAGCGGUGAAAUGCGCAGAUAUCAGGAGGAACACCGGUGGGCGAAGGCGGGUCUCUGGGCCGAUAACUGAC
rnacentral:rRNA from 1 species